GACGAACGCUGGCGGCGUGCUUAACACAUGCAAGUCGAACGGCGUGGCGAACGGGUGAGUAACACGUGGGUGGCCUGCCCUGCACUUCGGGAUAAGCCUGGGAAACUGGGUCUAAUACCGGCUAGUGUGGGCUGGGCCCGCGGCCUAUCAGCUUGUUGGUGGGGUAAUGGCCUACCAAGGCGGCGACGGGUAGCCGGCCUGAGAGGGUGGACGGCCACAUUGGGACUGAGACACGGCCCAGACGCCUACGGGAGGAAGCAGUGGGGAAGAUGGCACAAUGGGGGAAACCCUGAUGCAGCAACGCCGCGGGCGGGAUGACGGCCGUCGGGUUGUAAACCGCUUUCAGCCAUGACGCGGUAGUGGCAGAAGAAGCACCGGCUAACUACGUGCCAGCAGCCGCGGUAAUAC
rnacentral:rRNA from 1 species